UACGUAGGGACCAAGCGUUGUUCGGAUUUACUGGGCGUAAAGGGCGCGUAGGCGGCGUGACAAGUCACUUGUGAAAUCUCUGAGCUUAACUCAGAACGGCCAAGUGAUACUGCAGUGCUAGAGUGCAGAAAGGGCAAUCGGAAUUCUUGGUGUAGCGGUGAAAUGCGUAGAUAUCAAGAGGAACACCUGAGGCGAAGGCGGGUUGCUAGGCUGACACUGACGCUGAGGCGCGAAAGCCAGGGGAGCAAACGGG
rnacentral:rRNA from 1 species